GUGGGGAAUAUUGGACAAUGGGGGGAACCCUGAUCCAGCCAUGCCGCGUGUGUGAAGAAGGCCUUUUGGUUGUAAAGCACUUUAAGCGAGGAGGAGGCUACCGAGAUUAAUACUCUUGGAUAGUGGACGUUACUCGCAGAAUAAGCACCGGCUAACUCUGUGCCAGCAGCCGCGGUAAUACAGAGGGUGCAAGCGGUAAUCGGAUUUACUGGGCGUAAAGCGCGCGUAGGUGGCCAAUUAAGUCAAAUGUGAAAUCCCCGAGCUUAACUUGGGAAUUGCAUUCGAUACUGGUUGGCUAGAGUAUGGGAGCGGAUGGUAGAAUUCCAGGUGUAGCGGUGAAAUGCGUAGAGAUCUGGAGGAAUACCGAUGGCGAAGGCAGCCAUCUGGCCUAAUACUGACACUGAGGUGCGAAAGCAUGGGGAGCAAACAGGAUUAGAAACCCCUGUAGUCC
rnacentral:rRNA from 1 species